GCUUCUAUGGCCAAGUUGGUAAGGCGCCACACUAGUGAUGUGGAGAUCAUCAGUUC
rnacentral:tRNA from 1 species